rnacentral:misc_RNA from 1 species
UUUCCGUAGGUGAACCUGCGGAAGGAUCAUUAAUGAGUUGUCAUGGGGUUCGAUGCUGGCAGCCAGUUUUUGGAUGCAUGUGCUUGCCCUAGCAAUCAUCUUCUUCCAAACACCUGUGCACAUUUUUGAGGGAGUCUUGAGUUGGUUGCCGCUCUUGGGUGAUUUUCUCACAUUCCCUUAAAUCAUUAUACGCUAUUAACAAUGUUGAACGAGCUCUGUGCCGCAAGGCCAUUAAUAUAAUACAACUUUUAACAACGGAUCUCUUGGCUCUC